rnacentral:rRNA from 1 species
UACGGAGGGUGCAAGCGUUAUCCGGAUUCACUGGGUUUAAAGGGUGCGUAGGUGGGCUUGUAAGUCCGUGGUGAAAUCUCUGAGCUUAACUCGGAAACUGCCGUGGAUACUAUCAGUCUUGAAUACCGUGGAGGUCAGCGGAAUAUGUCAUGUAGCGGUGAAAUGCUUAGAUAUGGCAUAGAACACCAAUUGCGAAGGCAGCUGACUACGCGAAUAUUGACACUGAUGCACGAAAGCGUGGGGAUCAAACAGG